AUGAGAGUAUCCCUCCCACUAACCACCCAUGAGUCUCUAACGAAGGAUGCAAUGUGUCUUCCACCCAGUGAUCCAGUACUAAAGAAAGUGCCUGUCUCAAGCCAGGAACUGGUAACUUUGACUGCAAGCUGGAUUUGAAGGUGUGAUCGAUCUGCCAGAGGUCCUUGUAACAUGUGCAUGGUUUCCUGACCUGGAAUGAAUUGGACAAUGGAUCCAAAGAUAACCGAACUCCUUUAGGCUUGGAGGUUGGUAUGUGGGAUGGGGAGGAAUGUAGUAGAAAAGCAAUGGAUUUGUUUUAAGUGUUUGGUGUUUGAUAUGUGGUAGAUUGGCAGUGAAUUCCUGUACAAAACUUUGUUCUAUCAUGUGGAUUUUUCAUGUCACACUUGGUGCAAUGUCAGGAUUUGUUUAAUUAGAAGGCAUAAUUUAUUGAGUAAGAAACUGGAGCUGUCUGCUCCCAGGUUGCAAAUAAAACAAAAGAGAGGCUAGAAAUAGAAAAUAAA
rnacentral:lncRNA from 1 species